CAAGUCCGAUGCUAAAGACUGGGGCUCAACCCCAGGGGUGCGUUGGAUACUGUGAGGCUAGACGGUCGGAGGGGGUAGCGGAAUUUCCGGAGUAGCGGUGAAAUGCGCAGAUACCGGAAGGAACGCCAAUAGCGAAGGCAGCUACCUGGACGACUUGUGACGCUGAGGCGCGAAAGCGUGGGGAGCAAACCGGAUUAGAUACCCGGGUAGUCCACGCCCUAAACCAUGAGUGCUGGGUGUCCCGGCUUCUGCUGGGUGCCGUAGCUAACGCGCUAAGCACUCCGCCUGGGAAGUACGCACGCAAGUGUGAAACUCAAAGGAAUUGACGGGGGCCCGCACAAGCGGUGGAGCAUGUGGUUUAAUUCGAAGCGACGCGAAGAACCUUACCAGGCCUUGACAUGCCCGGAACCCCUCUGAAAGGAGGGGGUGCCCGCAAGGGAGCCGGGACACAGGUGCUGCAUGGCCGUCGUCAGCUCGUGUCGUGAGAUGUUGGGUUAAGUCCCGCAACGAGCGCAACCCCUAUCCCUAGUUGCCAGCAGUUCGGCUGGGCACUCUAUGGAGACUGCCUGCGAAAGCAGGAGGAAGGCGGGGAUGACGUCUGGUCCGCAUGGCCCUUACGGCCUGGGCGACACACGUGCUACAAUGCCAAGGACAGAGCGCUGCUACCUCGCGAGUGGACGCCAAUCGCAAAAACCUUGGCUCAGUUCGGAUUGGAGUCUGCAACUCGACUCCAUGAAGCCGGAAU
rnacentral:rRNA from 1 species